GACCAGACUCCUACGGGAGGCAGCAGUGGGGAAUAUUGGGCAAUGGGCGCAAGCCUGACCCAGCAACGCCGCGUGAAGGAAGAAGGCUUUCGGGUUGUAAACUUCUUUUGUCAGGGACGAAGCAAGUGACGGUACCUGACGAAUAAGCCACGGCUAACUCCGUGCCAGCAGCCGCGGUAAUACGGGGGAUGCAAGCGUUAUCCGGAUUUAUUGGGUUUAAAGGGUGCGUAGGCUGUGAGGUAAGUCAGCGGUGAAAUGCCCCCGCUCAACGGGGUGAAGUGCCAUUGAUACUGCCUUGCUGGAAUGCGGAUGCCGUGGGAGGAAUGUGUGGUGUAGCGGUGAAAUGCAUAGAUAUCACACAGAACACCGAUUGCGAAGGCAUCUCACGAAUCCGCGAUUGACGCUGAUGCACGAAAGCGUGGGUAUCAAACAGGAUUAGAUACCCCAGUA
rnacentral:rRNA from 1 species